GACGGAGGAUGCAAGCGUUAUCCGGAAUGAUUGGGCGUAAAGCGUCCGCAGGUGGCAGUUCAAGUCUGCUGUCAAAGACCGGGGCUUAACUUCGGGAAGGCAGUGGAAACUGAACAGCUAGAGUAUGGUAGGGGCAGAGGGAAUUCCUGGUGUAGCGGUGAAAUGCGUAGAGAUCAGGAAGAACAUCGGUGGCGAAGGCGCUCUGCUGGACCAUAACUGACACUCAGGGACGAAAGCUAGGGGAGCGAAUGGG
rnacentral:rRNA from 1 species